rnacentral:rRNA from 1 species
UACGUAGGGGGCUAGCGUUGUCCGGAAUCAUUGGGCGUAAAGCGCGUGUAGGCGGCCCGGUAAGUCCGCUGUGAAAGUCGGGGGCUCAACCCUCGGAAGCCGGUGGAUACUGUCGGGCUCGAGUACGGAAGAGGCGAGUGGAAUUCCUGGUGUAGCGGUGAAAUGCGCAGAUAUCAGGAGGAACACCAAUUGCGAAGGCAGCUCGCUGGGACGUAACUGAC